rnacentral:rRNA from 1 species
UUAGUCGUAAAAUUGAUAGGAAAAUUCACCCCCCUAUUCCGCCUGAGUACUACGAGCACCAGCUUAAAACUCAAAGGACUUGGCGGUACUUUAGACCCCCCUAGAGGAGCCUGUUCUGUAACCGAUAAUCCCCGUUAGACCUCACCCUCCCUUGUUCACCCCGCCUAUAUACCGCCGUCAUCAGCUUACCCUGUGAGGGAUCCAUAGUAAGCAAAAUUGGUACAACCCAGAAUGUCAGGUCCAGGUGUAGCGCAUGGGAGGGGAAGAAAUGGGCUACAUUCGCUAAUUUAGCGAACACGAACGACGUAAUGAAAAAAACAUCCGAAGGAGGAUUUAGCAGUAAGUGGAAAACAGAGUGUUCCACUGAAGUCGGCUCUAAAGUGUGCACACACCGCCCGUCACUCUCCCCAGCAACCUGAAACACAAUAACUAAUUAACACCUAGACCGCAACGGGGAGACAAGUCGUAACAUGGUAAGUGUAC